GAUGAACGCUGGCGGCGUGCCUAAUACAUGCAAGUCGAGCGAACGGACGAGAAGCUUGCUUUUCUGAUGUUAGCGGCGGACGGGUGAGUAACACGUGGAUAACCUACCUAUAAGACUGGGAUAACUUCGGGAAACCGGAGCUAAUACCGGAUAAUAUUUUGAACCGCAUGGUUCAAAAGUGAAAGACGGUCUUGCUGUCACUUAUAGAUGGAUCCGCGCUGCAUUAGCUAGUUGGUAAGGUAACGGCUUACCAAGGCAACGAUGCAUAGCCGACCUGAGAGGGUGAUCGGCCACACUGGAACUGAGACACGGUCCAGACUCCUACGGGAGGCAGCAGUAGGGAAUCUUCCGCAAUGGGCGAAAGCCUGACGGAGCAACGCCGCGUGAGUGAUGAAGGUCUUCGGAUCGAAAAACUCUGUUAUUAGGGAAGAACAUAUGUGUAAGUAACUGUGCACAUCUUGACGGUACCUAAUCAGAAAGCCACGGCUAGCUACGUG
rnacentral:rRNA from 1 species